rnacentral:rRNA from 1 species
ACGCUGGCGGCAUGCUUUACACAUGCAAGUCGAACGGCAGCGGGGGCUUCGGCCUGCCGGCGAGUGGCGAACGGGUGAGUAAUGCAUCGGAACGUGCCCAUGUCGUGGGGGAUAACGUAUCGAAAGGUACGCUAAUACCGCAUACGCCCUGAGGGGGAAAGCGGGGGAUUCUUCGGAACCUCGCGCGAUUGGAGCGGCCGAUGUCGGAUUAGCUAGUAGGUGAGGUAAAGGCUCACCUAGGCGACGAUCCGUAGCGGGUCUGAGAGGAUGAUCCGCCACACUGGGACUGAGACACGGCCCAGACUCCUACGGGAGGCAGCAGUGGGGAAUUUUGGACAAUGGGCGCAAGCCUGAUCCAGCCAU